rnacentral:lncRNA from 1 species
AAAUCCCAAAAACACUCCCAAGUAUAACAAUGUCAUCUUCUACGGCAAAUCGAAGGCAAUUAAUGCGUGGUCGUUCAUGGUUGCUAUCUUCGGUAUCGAAAGAGAGAUUAACUCUGACAAGCGUAAUUCUAGCUUUCAUGACCUCGAUUGUGGUUUUGAUAGUUGAGAUUUUGCAUAGGAAAGUUCAAGGUCAUUGGAUAAGAAUUUGUCGUGGGCAAUGGUGAUAAGAGCUGAGCAAGGAAAGGUGGAUGACUCUUUACGGAGUGUAUGAAGAACCAACCUGAUGGAGUCGAUGUGGUGGGGAUUAGCUGGUGCUUAUCGG